UGGGUGUAGCUCAGUGACAGAGCACUUACCUAGCAUGUGGGAGGCUCUGGAUUCAAUCCCCAGCACCACAA
rnacentral:tRNA from 1 species